rnacentral:rRNA from 1 species
GACGAACGCUGGCGGCGUGCCUAAUACAUGCGAGUUGAGUGCUGAAGGUUGGUACUUGUACCGACUGGAUGAGCAGCGAACGGGUGAGUAACGCGUGGGGAAUCUGCCUUUGAGCGGGGGACAACAUUUGGAAACGAAUGCUAAUACCGCAUAAAAACUUUAAACACAAGUUUUAAGUUUGAAAGAUGCAAUUGCAUCACUCAAAGAUGAUCCCGCGUUGUAUUAGCUAGUUGGUGAGGUAAAGGCUCACCAAGGCGAUGAUACAUAGCCGACCUGAGAGGGUGAUCGGCCACAUUGGGGCUGAGACACGGCCCAAACUCCUACGGGAGGCAGCAGUAGGGAAUCUUCGGCAAUGGACGAAAGUCUGACCGAGCAACGCCGCGUGAGUGAAGAAGGUUUUCGGAUCGUAAAACUCUGUUGGUAGAGAAGAACGUUGGUGAGAGUGGAAAGCUCAUCAAGUGACGGUAACUACCCAGAAAGGGACGGCUAACUACGUGCCAGCAGCCGCGGUAAUACGUAGGCCCCGAGCGUUGUCCGGAUUUAUUGGGCGUAAAGCGAGCGCAGGUGGUUUAUUAAGUCUGGUGUAAAAGGCAGUGGCUCAACCAUUGUAUGCAUUGGAAACUGGUAGACUUGAGUGCAGGAGAGGAGAGUGGAAUUCCAUGU